UCAGGAAAACAGAAAGCUCAACUAUGGACUAGAUGACAUUUCUCUUUGUCAGUUAGAUAAAUAAAUAAAAGACCCAUCCAAUAAGGAUCAUGUUCCAGAAGAACCUGCCCUACAUGGUUAUUGAUCCAAAAGAGGAAGAGCUCCAUUCUCUUUAUACAUUCAAUUCUCUCCACAGUAGAGCUGUCAGAGGCUGAGGGAACAUGUCAACCUGUUUUCUGAACUUCACAAUGUAACCAGGGCAGUUUAAUUUUAUGUAGUGGUAGAGCACUGGAACAGUUUGCCAAAGAAUGUAAUGAUUUUCACUCUGGAGACAUUCAAAACCCAUCUGGGCACAUUCCUGUGCAACCUGCUCUAGAGGUGACCCUGCCUCAACAGGAGUUUGGGCUGGAUGCACUCCAGAGGUCCCUUACAACCCUAAAAGUUCUGUGAUUUGUAAUUCUGUGUAAACCACUAGAAGGCAAUCUAGGCUCAGUCGUCUCUAGAAAUGCCAAGCUCAGCCUCAGAGAUUCCCAGCAGUGCAGUAGUAUCUAUCAGCAUUGCUUUGAACCAAACUUAAAGGACUGUUUCAAUUAGAAAUAAAAUUUCCUUACUCAUUUACAUUAUCCUCCAUGUUCACAGGACAAUACAUUCCUCACAUACACUUUUAUUAAGCUUCUCACAUGUAAUUAAGCAUACAUUCUACAUUUGACAUGAUAGCAAGUUUGUCAGGAGCCAACUUUUUUCCUCCAGACACUUGUAGCAGUUGAAGUUUCAUGGAUUUCACACAAAUGUAGCAAAACUUGUUUCCAGUUCUAAGCACGGUGAUAAAAUGUCCUAGCCACGUGGCAGAAACACAUGAAACAAGAAAUUUGAGGAGUACAGCAGACAAAACAAGAUGUAGGAGGGCACAUCUUUUAGGAGACCUAUGCUGAGUGGUGACACUCUGCACCUCUCAAAACAGACUUCUGGGAACAGGAACAGAUGUAUUCUUGAGGUACAGGCCUUAAAUACAUAAAAAAAGAGUAAGAUGGUGUAGCAGAUGUUUUCAGGGUCCAGCCUACAAGGAAAACAACAUUAGAAUACAGGAGCAAUUCUUUUGAUGACUAAAAAUUAACCACUUCUGGAGUCAGGCUUUUUCUUCCAUUCCAUGCUUUGUUAGUAUGACUGUGACACCACCACAUGUGAAUGAAGAUGAAUCUAUUUGUGACUGGUCAAAUGUUCAAGAGAGUGUAAUCUUACCACAGUGACGUCCUGUGCAAAAAACAAGACUGAAAAUGUUAUGGUGACUGAACCAAACCAGCACUAUGAGGCAUCUUGCUUCCAUCUGCAUUGGUCAGAAGUUUCUGAGGUGGACAAUGCACAGACAGAUGGCAGACACUUCUUUCAGUCCCCCAAGAUUUGUGGAUGACACGAAUGGAGCUGCACAGCUACAGCAAUUCCUGAACAGUACAAGCACAGGCUUCUUCAGCCCUGUUAGUAAAGACUCCAAUCCUCAGGCAAGAGACUGACCCUGUCAAAAAUGUGAAGAAACAGUGCUGAGCUGCAGCUAGAUUAUAGUUGGAGAAGAUUAGGAAGAAGAGACUGCACUGCAGAAAUGGGAUUGUUUCAAACGAACUUUCAGUAUGUAACCUUACAAUGGAAUUAAAAGGUUUACUUGAGUGACUCUGGAAUGACUCCCAGCCUCCCUCAGAAAACAAGUCUGCUUUUCUGCACUCUUAAAGCAAAACCUCUUAACACACCAUCCCAGAGCUUACAUCUCCAAAAAGCAGCUCCAGAAAAGUCCACCAUCCCCGCUCUAUGUUAGCAGGUCCCACCAUGAGACUGACACUGAGAUUUUAAGAACAAAGCAAAUUCAAUUACACAUUAAGCUGAAUUACAUAUUGUGAUAUCUAAAAUUAAAAAAACACCCUCUGUAAUUUUAGCAGUAUCUUCAUAACAGCAACAAAAUCUUCAUUGCCUGUGGUACACAGUAGCUCCCACUAUGUAAUUACUAAGUUCAUGCCUGGAUUUGGUGUAGCACAGUUCCAUCAUUUAGUAUCAAGGGCAGAAGUACAGAAGCAACCAAGCAGCACACAAUUUGAUGCAAGCAACAAGGAUUUAGGGCAAAUACUUCACAAAAUUCAUUCUUGAAGAUAUUCCAAAGCUAUCUGGACAUGGUCAUUAAGGUGGACAUGGAUAUCAAGCACCAGUAGUCUUUAGUAGCUUUAUUGAUGGCACAGAUCAAUAGUAGCAUCAACUGCAUGUUCAGCAAGUUUGUAGAUGACACAAAGCUAAGCUGUGUAGGUGACAAAACAGAAGGACAAGAUGCCAUUCAGAAGGACCUGAAGAAACUCGAGAAGUGGGCCCAUGUGAACCUCAUCAAGUUCAACAGAUCCAAGUGCAAGGUGCUGCACCUGAGUCAGGGCAAUCCCAGAUACAAGUACAGGCUGGGAGAAGUCCUUGAGAGCAGCCCUGCAGAGAAGGACUUGGUUGGAUAAAAAGCCGGACAUGAGCAAACAGUGUGCACUUACAGCCCAGACAGCCAAAUGCAUCCUGGGCUGCACUGAAAGCACAGUGACCAGCAGAUCAAAGGAGGCGAUUCUCCACCUCUAUACUGCCCUUGUGAGACACCCCCUAAAGCACUGCAUCCAGCUCUGAAGUUCUUGGCAAAGAAGGGCAUUGACCUGCUAGAGCUGACCUAAAGAAGGGUCACAAAGAUGAUCUCUCUAAGAGAGAUCCUACAAAGACAGGAUGAGAAAAUUGGGGCUGUUCAGACUGAAGAGGACUCCAGGGAAGCCUCACUGCAGGCUUCCAGUAUGUAAAGGGGGCUUUUAAAAGAGGAAAAACAACUUUUUACACAGGUAGACAGUGGCAGGACA